rnacentral:rRNA from 1 species
UACGUAGGGUGCGAGCGUUAAUCGGAAUUACUGGGCGUAAAGAGUACGCAGGCGGCUUUGCAAGUCAGGUGUGAAAUCCCCGGGCCUAACCUGGGAACUGCAUUUGUGACUGCAUGGCUAGAGUUUGUCAGAGGGGGGUGGAAUUCCACGUGUAGCAGUGAAAUGCGUAGAUAUGUGGAGGAACACCGAUGGCGAAGGCAGCCCCCUGGGAUGUGACUGACGCUCAUGUACGAAAGCGUGGGGAGCAAACAGG